GAUGAAGAACGUAGCGAAAUGCGAUACUUGGUGUGAAUUGCAGAAUCCCGUGAACCAUCGAGUUUUUGAACGCAAGUUGCGCCCGAAGCCGUUAGGCCGAGGGCACGCCUGCCUGGGUGUCACACAUCGUUGCCCCAAUGCCAAUCGCCUCACUUUGUAGGUAUUUGCUUGGGGUGAAUGUUGGCCUCCCGUGAGCUUUGUCUCACGGUUGGUUGAAAAUCGAGUCCUUGGUAGGGUGUGCCAUGAUAGAUGGUGGUCGAGUUUGCACGAGACCGAUCAUGUGUGCGCUCCCCAAAAUAUGGACUCUUUGACCCCACACGCGUCUUUUGAUGCUCAUGACGAGACCUCAGGUCAGGCGGGGCUACCCGCUGAGUUUAAGCAUAUCAAUAAGCGGAGGA
rnacentral:misc_RNA from 1 species